rnacentral:rRNA from 1 species
CUCCUCUUGAGUAAUAUAGGAGGUAUGAUCUGCUCCAUGCAGAAGUAAAUUACCGCAGUAUCUUGACUGUGGUAAGGUAGCAAAAUAAUUUGGCUUUUAAUUGGAGUUUGGAAUGAAUGAUUUGACAAAAUUUAGUCUGUCUCACUUCCUGUUUAUGAAAUUGGAAUUUCUGUAAAAAUACAGAGAUAAGCGAGAGGGACGAAAAGUCCCUAUAGAUCUUCACUCUUCAUUUUAAAUAAAUGCUAAAAAUUUUUAGGCUGAGUUUUCUUGGGGCAAGACUAAAAAUUGAAUUUUGGUUAUAGAAAAAGAUUGAUUGAUCGAAAAGAUGAAAUAUAAUAAGACAAGUUACCUUAGGGAUAACAGGACAAAUUCUUUACUUAGAACUUAUAAGAAAAGAAGUUUGCCACCUCGAUGUUGAAUUAAGUUUUCUUUUAUUCGAAGAAGGAUAAGGAGUUAGUCUGUUCGACUAUUAAAAACUU